GCAUCAGUAUCCAAGUGGCUGAAGGAACAGGUCUGCAACGCCUGUUUGCGCAGGUUCAAAUCCUGCCUGAUGCUCCA
rnacentral:tRNA from 1 species